rnacentral:rRNA from 1 species
UACGUAGGGGGCAAGCGUUGUCCGGAUUUAUUGGGCGUAAAGCGCACGCAGGCGGUCUUGUAAGUUUCGAGUGACAGGUGGUGGCUUAACUGCCACAGGCCUUGGAAAACUGCAAGACUUGAGGACUUCAGAGGGAUGCGGAAUUCCAGGUGGAGCGGUGAAAUGCGUAGAGAUCAUGAGGAAGACCAGUGGCGAAGGCGGGUCUCUGGACAGUUCCUGACACUGAGGCACGAAGGCCAGGGGAGCAAACGGG